GUAGGGGGGGGCAAGCGUUGUCCGGAAUUAUUGGGCGUAAAGCGCGCGCAGGCGGGCUACUUAAGUCUGGGUGUUUAAACCUUGGGGCUCAACCUGAGGUCGCACUGGAAACUGGGUGGCUUGAGUACAGAAGAGGAAAGUGGAAUUCCACGUGUAGCGGUGAAAUGCGUAGAGAUGUGGAGGAACACCAGUGGCGAAGGCGACUUUCUGGGCUGUAACUGACGCUGAGGCGCGAAAGCGUGGGGAGCAAACAGGAUUAGAUGCCCUGGUAGUCCACGCCGUAAACGAUGAGUGCUAGGUGUUAGGGGUUUCGAUACCCUUGGUGCCGAAGUUAACACAGUAAGCACUCCGCCUGGGGAGUACGGUCGCAAAGACUG
rnacentral:rRNA from 1 species